GUAAGAGAUUACUCUACAUCCAACUGAGGGCGCAAUCGCUCCGCAGAAUUCUUUCUUCAGACAAAACAACAAAAAUAAAAUACGCUCCAAAUCCCAAUUGCCCAAACCCUAACCCUACCUCUUCCACCGCCAUGGCCAAGAAACGAAAGCUUCGAUCCUCAGACCCUGAACCCGCCAAACCCAUCGAGCCACAGCAAGAAGACCAAGAACCAGAGGAACAACUCGACCAGCAAGAGCAACCCAAUCCCGAACCAACCUUAGAAGACCCCAACACCAUGGCCGUCGACGAACCAACAGAGGAACAGCAGCAAGAACAGCAAAUCGCCGAAGGUGAAGAAGAGGAAGAGGAAUUAGAGGAGCAACAGGAGCAGGAGCCAGAAACCCUAGAAGAGCAACAGGAGCCGGAAGCUCUAGAAGCUGCGAACCACGCCGAAGCAAACGGUGCUGGAGAAGAAGAGAACAACGAAGAGGAAGAUGAGGAUCUCAGUCUUGAAGACGAGCCCGUGGAGAAACUUCUCGAACCAUUCACGAAGGAGCAGCUGCAUGCUCUUGUGAAGCAGGCCGUGGAGAGGUUCCCUGAAUUUGUCCAGAGCGUACGCCAGCUCGCCGAUGUGGACCCCGCACACCGGAAGAUCUUCGUCCACGGCCUCGGCUGGGACGCCACUGCCGAAACCCUAACUUCCGUGUUUGGGAAAUACGGCGAGAUCGAGGACUGCAAGGCCGUCACCGACAAAGUCUCUGGCAAAUCGAAGGGUUACGCUUUCAUCCUUUUCAAGCACAGGGAUGAUGCUCGCAAGGCGCUGAAAAAUCCCCAGAAGAAAAUUGGAAACCGUACCACUUCUUGUCAGCUGGCCUCUGCUGGCCCUGUUCCGGCGCCCCCGCCGAACGCCAAUCCGGUUUCUGAGUAUACGCAGCGGAAGAUAUUUGUGAGCAACGUGAGUGCUGAGAUUGAUCCCCCAAAACUGCUUGAUUUCUUCAAGCAAUUUGGGGAGGUUGAGGAUGGUCCUCUUGGGCUGGACAAGAACACUGGGAAACCUAAGGGUUUCGCUCUGUUUGUUUAUAGGUCUGUGGAAAGUGCUAAAAAGGCUUUGGAAGAACCUCAUAAGAACUUUGAAGGCCAUACUUUGUAUUGUCAGAAGGCUGUCGAUGGUCCCAAGGGGAACAAAGGGUAUCAUCAGUAUCACCAUCAGCAGCAUUCCCAUCAUCAUCACCAUCACCAUCAUCAGCCUCAUUAUCAGAGAAAGGAGAAGAACAAGUAUUCCUCUGGGGGAGGUGGUCCGUCCCAUGGCAGUGGUCAUUUGAUGGCCCCCUCGGCGUCUGCUGUGGGGGGUUUCAACCCGGGCGUGCCGGCUCAAGGGUUGAAUCCUGCUCUUGGACAGGCGCUAACGGCUUUGCUCACUAACCAGGGAGCUGGAUUAGGUCUUGGAAAUCUGCUUGGAGGGCUUGGUGGUGCCCCCGUUAACCAGGCGGGGCCACCUGCCCCGUAUGGGAAUCAGCCUGCUAUGGGAUAUGGGAACCAACCAGCAAUGCAACAGGGAUACCAGAAUCCUCAAAUGGGUCAGAGCAGUGCUGUCAGACCCCACCCUGGUGCGGGCGCUCCUUACAUGGGUCAUUAGAUACCCUCAUAAGAUGCAUCAAUCAUUUAGUUUUGGACUCCGCUGAUUCUUCUGAAGUACCAGGCUUGUCAUACCAUACACUAUUUGCUUGAGGGUUGGCUUGCUGACAUAUAGGUCCUUGCCACAAACGAAUGCUUGAAUCUGUUUCUAACUUGUGUCAUCUGCAUCCACUAAUGGAGCUUGGAACCUUCCAUUCACUUCUUUGGCAAGAAAUGGCCACACUUGGUGGGUGGGUUGGCUCUCACUGUAUUCAAGUGUACCGGGGGUUGGAGUGAAUGUCAGAGAAGAUCAGAUCGGUGCGAUGGUGUUAUCAUCUUUGCAGUUAUCCAUGGCUUGACAAGGCAAUUGGCACAAGCGAGAACUGCACAUCUGACUCAAACAACCGGAGAUAUUACAUGGCAAUCAAGAAGAUUAGUGAUAAUACUUGGAAAACAAAAUACUUAAUGUUUGUUACAUCUUGUUAGAGCUCCGAUAAAUUUGGGGUGCUUGAUCUUGGACGAGGUGUAACAUUUGUUUUGUUUGGAAAUUUGAGGUUUCCUCCAACACUUGGUCUAACCACUCUCCUAAAUUAGGUAUUAAGAUACAUAACUCCUGGAUGAUCGACAAAAAAUAUGCAGAUUUUUUCACGCAUUUUUGUAGCUAUUUGGUAUAUAUAUUUAAACAAUUUACGUAAUA